UCUUCAUUUUUUUAAAAUAGUUUAUAUGUCACCACCAUCCUCGCUGUUCACAGGAUGGUGAGCAGAACUUGAAACCAUCGUCAGUUGAAGCUAUUGGAAAUGCCCAAGUAGCUUCCGUUUGUUUUCUUUCUUAGAUGGAGGAAAUGGACCAAGUUUCGGUGCAACACGACGUUGCCGGCCGGUCAUGGCUGAAGAAGGCUACGCUCGGAGAUGGCGAGGCCGAGCCCCCGGCAUGCCCGAAGCCUCUCAGGCCUGCAGGUCCGGCUUUGCAGCACUUCCUGUAUCCCCNUUCAUGCAGCCAUUCCAGCCAUGGAAGGAGCAGUGAUAUUCUGGCAAUGAUAUCAAGCAAGAAUGAUGCAGGAAAAGAAUCUAUCAGCACAGGAUGCCCACCUUCAUGUUAUUGUGGAUCUCCUCCAAGCAGAUCAGAUAACCCAUUGGUACAUGAUGUUCAAUUUGUCCAUCAGGCGGAGAUUCUUUCACCACACCCACAGGCCAAGUUGUUCGACAGGCUUGCUACUUAAGCUGGUUUUCAACUGGAGCUACUGUUAUAAGACUGACAACUUGAUACCAUGGCAGACAAAAUUGGAGCCCUCAAAGAGAUCAGCCAAUGAGUCUUUGAAGUUUGAAUGAUCAUUAAAAAAGAAAAAGAAACCUUAAAUCUAGAGAUGUAAUAACGGUUAACCUGACAAAUAUUUUUUACCCUCUUUAAACCUUUGUGGGGACCAGUUUUGGAGAAAGAGCUCUGUAUAUAUGCGGCAAUGGCAAUAAUAUUUGUUGUACACUAUGUGUGUAUGUGUUCAAAUGCAUGUCAAACAGACUAGAGAAUUAUGAUGAUGUUCAAAUGAGAUCAUGCAAAUUACUCUGAAA